GCCAGAGGGCAGUUCCCGCGGGAUUUGGCCAGCGCUUCCUUUUCUUCUUGAGUUGCUCCUCCUCUCUCACCCCGGACACCUGUGCCAGCCCCGCCUCACGUUGAAGGCCCCUGCGUAAUUGGACUGCGCAGCCCUGAAGAUCCUCGACUUCCCCAGGGUCACAAGUGACCCUUCUUCUCCAACUUGUCACCUGUGAUCUCCUUGAAAGCAAGAAUUUUGUAUUGCUGACAACACCUAGUUUAGCGGAUUAGCGGGCACGCAGGAAAUGUUAAAACAGCUCAGUGUAGAACUGUUGAAGAAAAGAAAAGGUAAAAAAAACAGACAAGUUGACUGUAUUUCCACGCUUUUUAGAACAAUAGAUACCACAGAUACCACAUUAGAUGGACCCUUCCAGGAAUGACUGUGCUGCGCUUAGUCGUAGUGGACUCUUUGUGACCCCAUGGACUGUAGUCCUCCACGCUCCUCUGUCCAUGGAAUUUUCCAGGCUAGAAUACUGUACUGGAGUGAGUUGCCAUUUCCUUGUCCAGAGGAUCUUCCCAAUCCAGGGAUGGAACCUCCGCCCCGUCUUCCGUUUUCCUAAACUGCAAGCAGAUUCUUUACCCGUUGAGCCACGGGUGAAGCCUUCCAGGGCAAGCUGUAUAAAGAUCUUUGCCAGCUUCCUUCCCAGGAGCUGCCUGAAAAGAAAGAUGUUGCUGAAAUAGGCCUACAAACAAGCAAAUUCACACCCCUUAAAGUAUAGAAUGGCUCUGGGGAUGUAUAUGAACUUCCCCCAAAGGGUUUUAAUAUGGCUACUUUAAUUUUUGAGUGUCCUGGAGAGAAGUCUGCAUCCUAACUCAUCAAAGAAAAACCAGCUGUGCUCAAGUUUUAAAGCUAUCUAAUGUUCCAGCCUGGACCUAAGCUUUUCCCAAGUCUGAACUUUAGAGCUGAUAGAUACUGAAAUAGCCUAUUCCAGAGGAGGAACGAGGGAUAGACAACCCAAGAAGGCAGGAAACUCACUUUGAGGUAAAGAGCAUCAAUCUUCUGAUGGUGUGUGAGUGUUGAUGUGAAGGAAUACUUUGCAUUAUUCAAGUGUUUCCUAUCCUAGUCCUUAUGGAAACUUGUUUCAAGCAACUUGAAAAGGAAAUGCAAAGAUCCCUUUGGGAAAAUCAAAAUAUGAUCGUGGGUUCUUUACUACAAGACAGUCAAAGAUUAACCAGAAGAGCCAUAACCAUUUGCCGAGGCGGGGAAUAUCUUCCUUAAUUUGGAAGCAGCAGAAGACUGAGAUGGAGCAAAGAUGAUUGAAGGGUAGGCAAGUGAAAAAGAACAAAAGUCCAAUUGAGCAAAAGUGCCAUUAGGAAUAACCUUGAGAUUUAGAAACCAAAAAUUACAACAGCAACUAAGGAGGAGUUUGUUACCUAAGAUGCAAGAGGAAAAGAAGAUUCGGGAGACUUGUAACCCUAGCCCUUGAUUGUUCUUGUGGCCUAAGAGAAUCAAGGGUUACAGCAGACAACCAUUGUAAUAAAUUUCAGCCAUACAGUAGUCUCCCAGAGUUAGUCGUUCAAAUACCACAUUCAUGAAUUAUUUUUACAUAUUCAUAUACUACCAUUUAU
ensembl:lncRNA